AUUCGAUGUCAUGCAGCUCUACACGAUGACAUUUACCGUAUGAAACCUUUUCUUUACCCAGUAACGCCUCGACGAGACGAUGCAGAAAGCGCAGAACUGUGAAUAUUCUCUUCUAACCUUCUUCUGUAAAUUUGCUUUGUUUUUUUCAAUUUUAUAAAACUCUUUGUUUAUUUGUUGUUUUUUCUUCAAUUUUUGCAUAAUAGAAAAUUGAUCCAUAUGCAUUUUCCUUAUGCUGCAAAUUUGAGGAUUUGACCUAGAAAAAAUGGAAAUAAUUAUUGGCGAAAUAGAAAUAAUGUUUUUCCAUAUUCACUUCUGGUUGUUGAUACUGUAAACAAUGAUGGUUUGAUUUCAACAAUUUGAUGAUGUAGAGUAACUUUGUAGCUGGUAAGAAUCAUGGCUUAAUGGUCUUGUAACGACUGUGGUUUUAACAAUGUCAUUUAUCUUGCUUAUUACUUUAAAGAGUUGGUUUUCUUCUUGUAUUGUAAAUUGUAUUGUUAACUGAUAGAUUCUUUAUAUAUGAAUUGUUGGUAGGGUGAUGGUACAUGCAACAUUGUUGUCAAAUAGCACGGUGGUAUUCCCCUGUAGUAGUGUAGUGGAAUUUGAACCAAAUGCUAUUGUUAUGUGAAACACUACUGUACAUAGUGUUGUAAAAUAAGGGCUAUAGUGGUUUUAUAGCGUUGUAGAGUAAACAAACCACUAUUUUAUGCUAUUAGCUAUCGACAACACUGACAUGCAGUUAUGAAGGAGUAGUCUAGAUAUCUACUUGUAAAUAACUGCCCUUAUUCGACAUCUUUGGAAAAUUAGAUAUAUCAACUAAAUGGUAUUGUACAGACAAGUAACUCUUUUGGAAAAUUAGAUAUAACAACUAAAUGGUAUUGUACAUGGACUCUGUUUGGCAUAAGCUAUUUCUAUAACAAAAGAUAAAAUAACGUUAAAACUGUUUUUGUUCAAGUUAUAAACUGUUUUUAUAAACUAUCCUAGAGAGUCUAUGAAAUUAGCUGAAAAAAACUUAUAAACAUGUGAUAAGUUGAUUCCACAAACUCUCAAAAGUUUCACAAGUGCUUAUGCAAUUAUGUCAGUAGAUAAAUUCAAAUAGGUCAAAUCAAACUGGUUGAUGUUGUAUCAAAUGGGAUUUUGUUGUUUUGGUUUACACAUUAAUUGUCAGAUCUUCUGUAGUACCAUGAAUUGGUGAAAAAUAUUACUGCUAUAGAAAUUUAGGGUGGACCGUUCUUCCUAGUCUUUAUUUGAUAUAAGGCUGAUCAUGUUCCAAUCCCAAUGUUAUGCUUGUGACUGAUCUGUCGAACCAUAAUUUACUAAAAACGUUAAAACCUACAAUUUUUAUACUACUCACAUUCUCAUUAGUUUUUGCUGUCUGCCACAUUGAAGAUUUAUUAAGAAUCUUAUAGUUCGUUUACUUUGUAAAAAUAUUUUUUGUUUUCAUUUCAUAGAAUUUGUUUUAAUUUUACCGGUUGAUAAGAAAGUAAGAGAUUUUAUGAAGUGAACAAUUGUCUAUAUUUUUUAAAACAAUGAAAAUAUCUAAAAAGUAUUUUCAUUAUUCUCGGAAAUGUAUCUUCAUUAACUAGUAUUUCAUUUUCUCUCCAGGACAAUGUUUUACUUAAAUUGUUUUUCAUCAAGAUAAAAUGAACACACAUUUUAGAAAAUGGAAAUAUAAAAUAUUUUCACAAAGACACAAACUAUAAGGGAUCUUAGUGUUUCUCAAUUAUGAAAAGGAUAUUAACUUUGGUUUUUCUGUUCCCACUAUUUCCAGCAUCGUACAAUACAUUCAAAGGAUGUUGAAGCAACACUUCCUUGAGUUUGCAUCACAUAUUCUAUUAUUAUUAUAGCUGUCAAAAUAUGUUUCUGUUUAAUAUCCCUCAAGUAUAUGGAUUCAGUUAUAUUUUAAUUCUUGACAAUAGCUUGUAUAUGACUUUGAUUGAUAUCCAUUAUAGGAGUGAAUUUGUGUUGGCUGACAUGCUAGUUUUCCAUUUUGAUUUUAAGAACACCAAAAUAUUUUGAAAAUGUUCAUUAUAUUUUGUUGAUAAAAGUAAUGCCUUGCUUUUGGUAAAUUGGUAAGUUGCAUAUCCUGUCUCAUGCAUGUGAGUCUAGCAUGCUCUUUAUCGUACUAGUAUGAACUAACUUAUUUUGUUUUGUUAACAAUACUCUUAUUAUUUGUUCUGUUUUCAUGGGCAAACCAUAUUUGCUUUUCACCAAAACAUGCACACCCGAAUCACAAAAACAGAAGAAAUAAGAAGAGAAAGACUGUAAAGACAAAUUCCUAAUUUUCUAUAAAAUACUGUUUUACAUGAUGAGACAGUACAGGUGUUCAGAAUUCUGAUAAGAAUAUAUAAUACUCAACAUCUUUACUUUUGUUGGUUAAGCAAUAAGACUUGUCUGUAGGGUCCAGAGAUUGAAGAUACGAAAGUUCGUUAGAUUCGAAUACUUCUGAAACAUGACAUUACAAAAGAAUUUCACUAUAAUCUCGCCGAAACUGAAUACUAGUGCAAAUGAACAUUUUCUGUUUGAGGAGCUGGGAUCAUCAUCUAUACUGUCAUUUUAGAUGAUGCUGGUUCAUUGAAUUGCUUUCCAAAAUUUAUGUAGUAGCCUGACUGUACAAAAUACAUGCCCGAUGUCUCUCUAUCACAAAACUCUUAAAACAUAGAUUGAAACUAGAGAAAAAACCAACCAACUGUUGUGAAGAACUUUUGAGAAUGCAGGUACAACUCACUAUGUUUCUAACCUGCUCUGCAUUUCCAAGCAUGUCAACUUCUGUUUCUCACACUUCUGGAUGUCAGCGACUUAGCUUAGUUACGAUUUCUCUCCAAGUCAAGCGAACAGUAUAUGUUAAGUCCUGUUGUGAAUAGGAUCUGAUCCUCUUCGCACUCUUCUUUUGCUCGAAUAAUUUGGAUCAAGCCUGUUGUUAAAAUUUGCUGAACUCUUCUUUGUGGGAUCAGACACAUUGUUGACAUUUGCUGUAUUCUUCUUUGUGUUCAACAUUUCCUUUGUAGCUUUCAGAAUAUUAAGAAUCCAACAAAGAGAAGAAGAAUUAUUCUAGAAGGAUGGAACACCAUAUUCACUUCUCUCUAAAACAAGAAUAAAAGGUUACUCCAUAUACAAAUUCAGGUCUUAAAUGGGACAGGGAAAAAAUGGGCCAGCCAGAAGCAGGAGAUUGCAACAGUGCUAGCAGCUCAUAUAAAGAAUAAAUGUGGGAAUAGAACAGUCCCCAAAAGAAACAAACUAUUGCUUUAUGCUCUUUACUAACUUCUAAGAUCUCCCCUUGUUGGCUUUAGAAUUCCAAACUCUCUUCCCAAGUUUGGAACUGUCCAAAGCAUAAAUUCCCCACUUUAUCACAACUGGGUGACAUAUUUUUCUUAAGAUGAAGGGUGACUGGUCAUAGUCCAAGUGAAACAAACAACCAACGCAUGAACAAUUUAUGUUCUCUCUCCUAUGUUUUUUGAUUUUUAUACUUUUUUAUCAUCCAAUUAAAGUGACAGUUUAUGUGACUCGUUGCUUUCCAUUUUUAUUUUUUCUUCCUAACGUUUGAAACUUCCUUUUGAGUGUCACCUUGUUGCAAACCAUAUGCCCUUAAAGAAUAUGCUUCUUUAUUUUCCCUCUGAUUAGUUGUUAAUUUACCAUUGUAUCGUAACAUGUGACAUUCUAAUGUGGAAUGCAUUGUUACUAGAUUGUUUGUUA